CCCCUCGGAGCGCCCAGAGGCUCUGGCGAUGGGCCGGGGCGCAGCGCGGGGGAGAGGCCCGGGCUCCAUUCGCCAGCUGGAUGCUAUUGAUCCCUUCCCUCGCCUCCGCUUUCUUCCUGAGCUCCCUCUCCCUAUUUAAUUCCCUUCCCUCUGCUCCUCUGCAGCCGCCCGGGCAGCGCUCCGAGCGGAGCCGGGCGGUGCGGGCACCCGGGGGCGCGGAGCGGAACAGCGUGAAGGCACAAACGACCCGGCCAGGACCAGCCCCAGCGGAGGGGCCGAACCGCGGGCCGUGCCUUCGCCGAGCUGGCACCGGGCACCGGCCAAACCUUCGGGGUUUACCGGGCAAGGAGGGAGAAGGAGCCGGAACGCGGCUCCGCGCACCCCGCCGGGAGCCAAAAGUUCCUUAAAGUUCUUUAAGGCUUCAAAAUAACAGCAGCAUCGCCUGGCAGAUCCGGCCCAGGAGGUUUUUAGGGACAGGACCAGACCGGGGGGCCCGCCCGGAGCUGCCCCCCCCUCCGCCCGCCUCCGCCGCCCUCCUUCCCCCGCUCCCGGUAUUUUCCUGUCGCCGCAGGCUCCUUCACCUGGCUCGGGAGAAGCCGCCUCUGCUUUUUCGCUAAGAUCCCGGCUUUGGACACUUUUCUCCCCCAUCCCGAGGGCAGAGGGAAGGCAGGGCCUUGCGCGAUCUGCGGAGCGGCCCGGGGAGGGGGUGCGGGCCCGGACCCCCCCGGUCCCGGCGGCUGAACCCCCGCAACAGGUACCGCCGAGCCCCGGGGCUGCGGGGACACGGCGCGUCCUGCGGGAACAGCCG